GUGCCAGCAGCCGCGGUAAUACAGAGGUGCCAAGCGUUGUUCGGAUUUACUGGGCGUAAAGGGUGCGUAGGUGGUUUGGUAAGUCAAAUGUGAAAUCCUACAGCUUAACUGUAGAAAUGCAUUCGAAACUGCCAAGCUAGAGGACUGGAGAGGAAAUCGGAAUUCUCGGUGUAGCAGUGAAAUGCGUAGAUAUCGAGAGGAACACCAGUGGCGAAGGCGGAUUUCUGGACAGUUUCUGACACUGAGGCACGAAAGCUAGGGGAGCAAACGGGAUUAGAAACCCCUGUAGUCC
rnacentral:rRNA from 1 species